rnacentral:ribozyme from 1 species
CGGUGGCGCGGGCGUUCCAAACAGCCGAAGAGGUGCCUCUGGGCGAGGUCCUGCCCGAGGUCCAGGCGGCGCUCACGGCCUACCCGGGCGAGCCCUUGC